rnacentral:piRNA from 1 species
UGAGACCUAAUCUGGAGAAAAGUCAUGG